rnacentral:lncRNA from 1 species
CACCUUUGAGGAUAGAACUUUUUGAAAUGGAUUGAAGAAUAUGAUCAACAAGGUGAUUACUACGACGACAUAGUUCAAGGGGGAGUAUGUGAGGUGGAAGUGUGAAGGAAAAUGAAAUGGAAGGAAUGUGAUGAAAAGUAAUAGAAGGAAAAGAUUCACAAGCAAAAGCUUUGACAAGUGUUUGAAUAUCUUGCAAAGAUUGUGGUUUGGUAUUUGGUGGUGAAAGGAUGAGAAUAGUGAUGGAAAGUGAAGGAUUAUGUGUUAAUAUGAGUUUGCCUAAUUCAACCAUAGAGUUAAGGUGUCCUUUUCCAAGAGCUGGGUAUAGAACUAAAGUAUCCUUCAUUUUGAUGAAAAUUGGAAGGAAAUGGAAUUAGUGAAGUUAAGAGUUUGUUAGUUACUUACUUUGGUAGCUAUGGAAAAACAAAGUUGUAUUUAAAGAGAGAGUGAUGAAGUAGUGUCCAAAUUAGUCAUAGUUUUAGGUAAUGUUUGAUAUUUAAUAUUAGAUAUUGGGAUGGGUCAUGUAUGGACAAUUCCGGCAUCUCGGUGUGAAUUCAUAUUUAUUUAAUAUUUUAUAAUAUAUAGUAACAUAUAAGCACCUUCCACUACGCUUCAAUAACGUGUUUAUUAAAAUUGCAAUUCAUUCGUAAAAUCAUAUGUUCAAAUACCAAUCCUCGGUGAAAAAAAUAUUUAUUUUUAAAAUUAUUUUCAACAGAAAGAAUCUGAUAAUAAAAAUAUAUACAAUUUCAUAAAUCUGUUCAAAUCUGGAUCCUCGUUAAGUUUUUCUGGUAGAUAGAAAAGAAAAAUAUAUGUCAGGUCAUUGUCACAUCUCAGUGUACGUGAACGGCUCAGAAUAGUUUUGUUUCUCAUUUAAAAUAAUAAAUAACAGUAGAAUAUUCUCUAAAAUCAAUCGUGUUUUUAAUAAAUAAAAAAUAAAUCGUAUUUACUAAUAUUGUUUUGGGAGAAUACAAAAUUAUGUUUGACAGUUAGGACGGAUAGGACGGAUGGGAGAAUGGCUUUUGAAAAAAAUAGAAUAAAGAUAGAACUCCAAUUGCAAUUUAAUGAAUUUUAUUUUUAAAUAAUAUAAAUUUUAAAAAUAUAUUGAAAAAACAAUUUUUGAGGAAUGUUAUGUGUGUUUAGAAAAUUGUUCUAAUUUUAUAAAAUUACAAGUAAAUUCGUAUAAUUCUACGUAUUAAUUUAGAAUUGAAUUGAUUGUAGACUCAAAUUUUAGAAAACCUAAAUUUACUUGGUUGAACUUAUAAGAAAUUCAUAAACUCGAUUAAAUUCAGAAAAAAAUUCAUUUUUAUUUUAGGAUAAACUAGAUAAAUGCAAACAAAAUUUUUAACAAUUUUUUAAUCUGAAUUUUCUGGCUCAGUUCAGUUUAUUUUAUUUUAUUUUUAUAGUUUCAUUUUGUUCAGGGUUUAUUUCUGUACAUCACUACUCCCAUGUUUUUAGCCGAAACUGCAGCGCACGUUCUUGCACCACCCACGUCACCACAUGUAAGACUGUAAUACAUAUAAAUAUAUAUAUAUAUAUAGUGGUAUAUAUCAUAUCACUCUUUUUUUCUUAAAGAAUCAAGAGAAUAUAUGAAUAUACAUCAAUGAUUUUUUAUCUUUAAAGUAUUAAUUUAAUUGAAUUAUCUUAUGGUUGAAAAGCUUGGACACGACUUGUCACUCUGCUACAAAAUUUUCCUAGCACUCCUCUUUUUUAAUUUAUUGCACUAGCUAGUUUGCAACAAAAAAAAAUUCUUUGUUGAACAGUUUGUAAAACUUUUUAGCAGUAUCUAAAUUCCCUUUUUAAAUAUGUUUUAGUAGUAAGUACACUUUUUAGGUAAUUCUAGAAUUAUCACAACACUUUUUUAGUCAAAAAAAGGCACUUUUUAAAUUGUGGAGGACUAAUCAUUUCAAAAUUUGCUUUCUAUACAUCUAUUAUUUUAUGAAGUACCCUUUUUCAAAUAGGUUUCUAGACCAACCGAUUUAAAAUGUUUUCCUUUUCUAAUCGAUUUUUCCAACAACCAAUGAAAGAAGCAUUCACUUGCAUUAAUUUUGUAUAUUUUGAGUUCGAAAUCACUGUAACCAUUUAAUAUGUCGGCAAUUGAACAUCCAAUUUGUGUAUGUGAAAAAUAUCUCGAUAUUUCAAAACAUGACUUGGAAAACUUCACAUCAUCUUGACCCUAGUCAUUAAUUAUGACCCCAACCAACAUGUGCAAAAUAUGGACCCAAUAAUAUGAAAUCGUUUGAUCUAAAAGUUUCUAUAUUUGUAUGCUUCAUUUUGAGUAUUUUACACAUAUUAUUAUAAAAAGUUCUGUUUAUAUAAAAAAAAUUAUAUGAAUCACCAUUAAUUGUGUGCUACAAAAAGCCCCAAAUUGAUGUAGUGUUUCUACUUUAAAUUUAUCAUAACGAAGAAUAUAUUAAUAUUUAAUAAAAAUAAUUUAAAAAAAUCUAUUUUUUAAUUUAAACUUUUUUAUUAUUAUCAUUUGUUAAAUUUUAAAAAAAAUUGAUUUAUAUAUUAUUUUAUAUUUUUGUUUAAAUUUUCUUUAAAAGAAUUUUAAAAUUAAACCUUCAAAUAAAAAAUUAAUUUAAAUAAUUUAUUAUAAAAUAUUAUUUUAAAUAUUUUGAUUACAAUUCUUGAUUUAAAUCAUUAAUAAGAGAGAAAUGGUGAAAAAUAAAUUGAAUAAUAUUAAUAAUUGAGAGAAUAUUAAUUAUAUCAAUAAAUACAUAGACUUAUAUAAUCAACUAGAUAAACAAAUAAUUAAUGUAAAAUAAUUUGUUCAAACAUCUAAAAAGGUUUUUGAUGCAUUGUAUGACUUUUAAACAUGUUUCUAACAUGCACUUAAAGUUGUUAAUUUUUGUUGAUGAACUUCUCAAUAUCUUUGAAAUAAAAAUUCUCUCCUUGAGAAACUCUCAUUAGAUUAGAGGAAUUGUUUUUAUCUUGAAGAUAGUGGUUUAUAUUUUAUUUUGAAGGGUGUUUUAAGAACUCUGGUUUUGGGUGUUUAAAGAUGAAGGGGUAGUGUAGAAUCCUUAUAACAAAUUACUAAUGGAUUUUAUAAACAUUCUAUCAAAUUGUGAUUUUCUUUUUCUCUUAACUUUUUAUAUUUAUUUCAUAUUCGAUUAAUACUUAUUCAAUCAGAGUACUUUUCUCUUGUGAAAUUGUCUUUUCAAUUAUUGAGAAUAAUUAAUGGCAAUAUAAAAUCAAUUUUAAAUAGCCACAUUUUGAUAUAAAUAAACACUCCAUUCCAACAUAAUUUUCAAAUAAUUUAACUACAUUAUAUAAAUUUUAUAAAGAAUCGGUAGUCUAUUCAACUCUCUUCUAAAGUCCAUGAGACAUAUCAACUAAGUGGAAAUAGUUUAUAAACAUGAAUGACCUAUGUGAAAAAAAGAAUCAAAGAUAAAAGAUUUAAGUUGGCAACAUUUUUAAAGAUGAACGAUAUAUAUAUAUAUAUAUAUAUAUAUAUAUAUAUAUAUUGUGGAUUUGAACUUAAAAAUAAUUUUGAAACAUAAAUCUUGUUAAAAAAUUGCCCUAACAAUAUUAAAUAUUAAAAAUAAAAAUUUAAUACUAAAUAUAUCGUCUCUAAAACAAUUUUUAAAUUUAAAAAAAUUUGACACAUCUCUUUUAAGAUAAUAUUUAUAUAAUUUAUUAACAUGUGUUUUAAAAAUAUUUGUUAGCUUCUGACUCAAAAAUAUUAAUAUUAUAUAAUAUUAUUUUGUGAAAGUGGUGAAGCAUAUAAUUAGGCAAGCAAAACAUGCAUGUAUAAUGAAAGAUUUUGAAUGGACAUGUGAGGUUCAAGAAUUUGGGAGAGUACCUUUUUGUUUUGGUUUCCAUUCGGCGGCCAGCUUCCUUUAUUUUGAAGCGACAACAACAGCUAGGACAAAAACAAGGGUGGCUGAAUGGUCCUAUAUUUCUCCACAUUUCACAAUCUGGACCGUUAUUUCUUUCUCUCUUCAUAUCAAAUUCAGGUAGCUGUAACCAUGAUAUUGUAAUUAAAUUUGUACCAAUAUAGACUUAUUCUUAUAGAUUAGAAAAUUUUAAUUUUUAUAUUUAAUUAUAUUAUAAUAUUCUCGUAAUAUUUUGUUUAAAUUUUGUAUUAGAUAUAUCUAGCAUCUUUUUUUAUAUUUAAAAUUGAAAGAAAUAGCAUUAAAAUUGGAUGAAUUACAUUGACAUAUAAUAUAAUAAUAUUAAAUAAUUAAUACUCAUGAAAUUGUGAUAAAAUUUUCUAAAAUUUUAAGUUUUAAUUUUUAAAAAUUAUUUAUUUUUUGAAAAUUAAUUAAUAAUAUAUAAAUAAUUAAUAUAUUUAAAUGAUUUUACAUCAUGAAAUUGUAUAUAAAACUAUUUAACAUAUUCAAUUCAUUAUUUCUUUAGCUGAAUUUAUUUUUAGAAAAAUCAAAAUUAUUAAAUUUUAAACUAGAUAAUUAAUUUUACGAAUGUGUAAAAAUAAGGACUAAAUUGUAAUUGAAAGAAAAAAAUGUGUUAGAUGAUACAUUAUAAUAAAUAAGAUAAAUAACUUAUGUAAUUUUGUUUUUUCUUUUUUUAAGACCUCGUGUUAAAAUUGGAGUAAACGUUCGUUUUGUUUCUUCAAAGUAUCAUGUGUUGUCAAGCUAAUCCUUGAAAAAGUAUCUGAUUUCAAACAUUAAGUAUCUGACAUUUGUUUUCAAGUAAAAAAUUCUAUUUAUAAAUAAAAAUUAAUUUUUGGUGUACACCCACAAUAAAAUAUUUAAUAUAUAAAAAUAAUUUUAUUUAUUAUUUAAAAUUUACUUUCUAAUUAAUUUAAAAAUUAUAUAAAUUAACAAUAUUAAUAAUAGUGAGAGACGACCCACCACCGUAGAGUCGUAAAAUCUCCGCCACACAACCAUUAUAGAGUUGCCAAAGAUCUACCAUCAACCACCAUAAGAUCUCUCAAAUGACCACCAUCAAUUACCAUCAAUGAUAUAAUGUAAUACGAGUGUACCCAUAUAUAGAUCUACACCUAUCCCUACUCUAAAGUAAACUAAUUACAAUCCACGUUUGUAAGAGUUACUUCUCUUGAAAUAUUUUCAACAAAGAUUCUCUUUAGAUAGACUCUAGUAAUAACUUUAAAAAAAUUACACUAAUUAACCACAAAAUUGGAAUUAAAUAUUUUUUUUAAUUUUUUUAUUUAUAUUUAAAACCAAAGAUAUUUUCUACGAUCACAAGAUUUUGAAGAUAAAAUUUAGACACAUAUAUAUAUAAUAUAUUAUUUAGUUAUAUUAUAAUUACAAAAUAUUUAUUUAUUAUUUUAUUUUUAUAAAUAUACCACAAUCUUGUGUCUAAAAAUUUUGUCACCACGCGGUAUUUUCUCCAUAAAACAUACGCAAGUGGCCAAACUAGUGAUUAUUAUUAUUAACAAACAAGACAUCAAUUAUUAACUCAUUUGUCAAAUUGGCCAAACUACUAGUAGUGAUUGAAUAAAGUUCUAGAAAGUUCAUUUUUUUGGUCAACAAUGUUGUUAGGAAGUUAAUGAUAGUAAGUAGUAAGCAAAAUCACUCACACCACAUGGCUAUGACCCAAAAUUUGUAUGUAUUUAAAGCGAGUGAUAGCCCUCGCGCGCUUCUAGAAGGAGCUCGUGGGAUUAAUAUUAUAUUAUUAAAAUCUUUGAUAUUCUUUAAAAAAAAAGAAAAUGAUAACAUCUACCAGUAGAUCUGGAAUGCCAUCUGUUUUUAGUGUAUCUAGAAGGCAUCUUAUAAUUACAGAAUCUUCAUAAAAUAUACUCUCUUUUUAAUUCUUAUUGUUCAUUUAUAAUAAAUAAUUUUUGUUAAUCAUUCAUAUGUUUUUAUUUAUCAUAAAGAUAAAUUUGAUAAUAAUAAUUAAGAUUAGGUACAUAACUUUUUCAAAAUAAAAUAUAUAGAUAACAUUUAUUAGAAAUUACAUUUGAAAAAAAUAAUUAAAAACUUAAAGUGAUAAUACUUUUGGGAUUAAUUAAUUUUUUAUUAAAAAAAAUAAUUGAUAAAAGAAACUAGCCUAACUGACAACUAUAUAUGGUGGUACAUUGAAACAGAGAGGCAUGUUGACAUGUGACAGUUUGUAAAAACAAUAUCUGAUGCAUGGCUGUCAAUUUGUGAUUUUGGACAACUAAAAAGUUAAAUGAUAGCCGGCUACUUAUAUUAAAGAUCUAAAUAUAGGAAGACUUGUAUUAUAAGUAGACUACUUUAAUUUAAUUUUACAUUGAAUUUGUUACCUACUAUAAUUAAAUAUAUUUAAAUAAUUUAUUCUUGUAAUUUUAAAUGUAAACAAAUAACUUAUUAUAUAUAUAUAUAUAUAUAUAUAUAUAUAUAUAUAUAUAUUUUUUUUUUUUUUCUAGACUUGUUAUAUACUUCUCAUAUUUCAAAUAAGUUUAUUACUCUAUUUAUUCAUUAGACAGAUAUGAAUCUAAUAAAUUGAACACGUGCGGAUUCACGACUUUUUAAUUAUUUAAAAUAUAAUUAUAUAACAUUGAAUAUAGAUAGCAUAUGUAUUAUUCAUUAUACUUACAGUGAAUAAUAAAAAUAAUUUAAAAAUAAUAAUUCUUUUUUAAAAGUACAUAAUUAUUAUUCAAUUUUUUAAUGUUAAAAAUUUAUUUUUGUGAUAUAUAUAUAUAGUUGCAUAUUAUUAUUUAUUUACAAUAUUUUAUUAAUCAUUAACUUUAACAACUUUAAUAUACUAACAAUUUAAUGGUUAAAGUACUCUUAAAUAAUUGUUAUUUUGUAUUUUAAUUAUUAAAUAAAAUAUAAGUUAAAUAAAUAAUUUAAUAGUUAAUGAAGUAUUCUAAUUAAUUUCAAAUUCAUUGUGUUAGAAAAAUAUUUCACAAUUACUCUUUUUAGAAAAUAAAUUAUAGAAAAAUUAAUGAAUCUUUUUUUAAAAAAAUAUAUGUUCAAGCCAUAUGAUAAAGUAUUUAUCUCAUUUAUUGUGUUUCAAUAAUACAAUUGAAAUUAAUAUUUAAAAAUCACUUUAACAUUCUAUGAUAAUUGAUGACAUAUAUUAUAAAUAUAUAUAUAAGAAAAAAAUUCUUUUAUUUUUUUAUAAUUAAGAUCUUGAUUCAAUUAAUGUUGGUUCGAUAGAAAUAAAAAAUCUUUAGAACUCAACUAUCGAUCGGUUUCGUAAUUUUUUAGAGGCAUCAUAAUAUUUUUUAGGUUUAAUUGCGGUUUAAUCUAUUUAUUUUCAUCAAUUCAUGGAAUUGAUUCAUCUAUUUUAAAAGUUGACAUAUUUGAUCUAUCCCUCAAAUUUUUGAACUAAAAAAAAAGAUAAUUUGAUAUAUUUUAAAUGAUGUAACAUACGAUUUUAUAAUAUAGAACUAUCUAAAUGUAUUAUUUAUUCAUUUAUUAUUAAUUACAUUACAAAAAUAAAAUAAAAAAUUCUAAAGUUGAAAAGUAUAUUUUUAGAGAGUUUUAUUGCGUUUUCAUGAUAUUAAUUAUUUUAUAUCAUCGUAUCAUAUGUCAUAUUAUUUAAACAUGUCACAUCACUAUUUUUUAUCAAAAAAUUUAAAAUGAAAGACAAACAUUAAUAUUAAAACAAAAUCAAUUUCUUGAAUCAAUAAAGAUAGUAAGACAAAAAUUUCAAUUAAAUUUAUUUUUUAUUUUUUAUAUGGUAGACAAUAUUAUAAAUAUUAAAAUAAAAAAUGAAUUGCAGAAUAUAUUCAUUGAAAUAAAGGAAUUGCGAAGUAGUUAUGAAAAUGUAAAAGAAAAUUGAAGUAUGAAGAGGAAAAAAUAGACUCGUGGAGAACCUUUACACGUUAUACUACUUGGAAGAGUUCUUGUGAUAUUAAAUAUGUGAAGGAUAAGUAGAGAAUGAAUUUGAAAGAAUUAUCUUAUUGGUGGGACUAAAAGAUUUCAUUAUACUUAAAAAUAAAUAAAUUACUAAUCGAGAACGAAAAAUUAUCGAAUUUUAAAUUAAUUGAAUUUUUUAUAAUCGAAAUAAAAUUAGAUGAAUAAAAAAAUAUCCAAAUAUUAAUCUGUCAAAUAUUUUUUUCAAAUCUAUAUAGUUUUACGAAAAUCACAAAAAUUUAAAAAUAAUAAAAAAAAUCAAUAAAACUUAAUAAUUUGACUCUUACAAUCAUGUUUCAUAUUUUUAGCACUAUUAAAAAUUAAUAAAAAUGUAUAAUUAAAAAAAAAAAAAAAAACAUGCAUGGAUAUUGGUAACCAAACAUAAAGAUAGGAAAACUCAUUUUUAAGCCAAUUAAGCCAUGAAUCCAGGAUGCUAUCGACAAACCAAUUAUACAUCUUCUACCGACAUAGCUUGGUUGACACUAAUAUUCAAUACCAUUCCACAAUUACACAAUUAUAAAAAAUUUGGACACUACUGCAUCACCAUAUACUUUUUAAAUGUGCAAAAGUACAAAAUAAGAUCCCAAAUCAAAUCAUAAAUUCAAAAAAUAAAAUAAAAUAAGAGAGACUUUUCUAUAAGAAAUAUAUAUUUAGAUAUAUUAAAUGAGAUAAGUUUUAUAAUAAAAGAGUUAAAUCUUGAUUAUAUAACUGUAUAUAAAUAAUUAUAAUUAAAAGUUAUUAAAAUAAAAUAUAAUUAUUUAAAAAUGAUUUUUUUUUCUAAUCUUAAAUAUCUAUAAUUAUGUGGUCAAAAUUUAACUCUGUCACUUUUUUCAUUGUAAAACAUCUCUUUUGUGUGCUUCUUUUUUAUAUAUAUAUAUAUAUAUAUAUAUAAACACUUUUAAUAAAAUAAAAUAAAAUAAUUAAAUUAAUCUAUGAAGGUAAAAAGUGCACUUUAGUCUCUUAAUGUAUUACAAUUAUAUCUAGAGGUAUUUUUUUAUGAAUAAUUUUAUAGAAUAAAUAAAUUAAUAGAAAUUACAAUAAUUAAAUAAUUAAUUAGCUAAAGACAGAGUAUAAAACUAAUAUGAAUAAGAAAGAUAUAUUUAAAUAUAUUUUUAUAAUUUUAAACACAACUAUAAUUAAACCCCACACAUUUAAAAAACACUAUUUAACCCCCAAAAAAAUAGCCUAGUGUUCUAAAGCUAUUCUAUCCAAGUUCGAUUGUGUCGGUGGAAUUUAAACUAAUAAAUUAACCUUUUUAUUCGAACAAACCUGAAACAAAAAAUUAAUAUAUAUUAUUAUAUGUACCACACUAUUAUGUAUAUAUAGGUGCAAAACACAUACCUCCUUGCCUGUAUGUGGUAUUUGUUUUCCAUCUCACACAAGAAUUCAAAUAAGAAUUAGAACCAUCAAACUAACAAUUAUUAAAAUGGUAUCUUCAUUGUACGAUACAUCAAUAAUUUUAUAAGAUAAUUUAGUUAUAAGUAAAAUGCAAUGCACGUCACAAAUUAAAGGAGAAAAAUAAAAAUUGUGCCACCUCUCAACAGAUUUCUUAUGUCGAUUUUUUAUUGUUCAUCCACUUAUUUUUUUUCUUCUCAUGUCAAUCUUUUAAAUAAUGUACUAUGCAACUUCUUUUUAUAUCUAGUAAACUAUUAUUUUAACUUUGAAUAAGUAGGAUAUUCUCGUUCUUGCGUAUGACUCAAUUAAAAAUUUAAAUUAACUCUUUUCAUUUAAAUAUUUGUCAUUUUAGUCUAAAAUAUUAUUUUUUGUUAUUAUUUAUAUUAACUGAGUGACGUGUAAGUAGACACCACUGUAUGAUGUGUCACUCUUUUUCGCACAUGUAUAACUAAUUAGACAUAGACUAAAAUGUUAAUAAAUUCAAAAUGGUGUUAAAAAACUCUUUUAUGUAAAAAAAAAUUAAAAAAAACAAAAGUAUUCAUUAUGUUGGUUUUAUUUUAUAAAAAGAAAAACAAAUUCAUUAAUAAUUUAAUAAUAUGUUAUUUCCCUAAAUACAUAGCACAAAAAUGAGAUCCAAACAAAAAACCAGUUCUGAUUCACUACAAAAGGAAUUCAAAAAUUUAUCGUACCCACAAAAAAAUAAAUAUUUUCUAGAUGUCUCUAAGAUGGAAAUGGGUAGUUUGAUUUCUAAUAUUUUAAAUUUUAAAUUAUAACUUCACUCCUCUCUUUUAUUCUCUUUGCAUUUGCAUUUGAGACUCAUGCCUUUUUUUUCUUCUUCUCUUUUCCAUCUCAUAUGAUAUUACAACUUCACAAAAUAGGAUACGUAAUUGAAAGAUCAAAAAAGGAGAGAAAAGAGAAAGAGUUUUUUUGGAAUUGACUACAAUUUGAAAGUGUUGGAAGGAAACAAGGUUGGAGAUAUUAUUAAAUAAUGAAGCACUCAAACACAUGUAAUAGAGUAAUUGGAGGAAGAAAAUGAAGAAAAAUUAGAGGAAGGAGAUGAAAAAGAAAUUGGGGAAAAAUUUAGGUUUAGAGAAGAUGAAGAAUUUUUUUUAAAAUCAUUUUGAAUUAAAUAUCAUUUUUGUCCUUGUCUAGUCUAAUAAACACGUGGAAGAGAUAGUGACACAUUAGAUGUUAUGUAAUCAUCCAAAGUUCACAAUCAAUUUAAGGUUAUAGACUAAAUUGACAAAUGUUUGGAUGAGUUAUAAACUAAUUUGAAUUUUUAGGUAAGUUAUAGACUAAAAUGACAGCGUCAUGCACAUUCAACACCAAAAUAGUGGUUUACCCUUUUCAUAUCACACAUACACCUGUAUUUAUUCUUGUUCCAAUCAUGAAACUUUUUAAUUCGUACCAAUGUUUUAAAAAUUGGACCGAAGGUCUAAUGACGAGACCUCUGGAUCAUAGUUCAAUUAGUUCAAUAGGUUGAACCACGGUUGAACCUAAAUAAAUAAAUAAUAAAACAAUAAUAAAAGACAUGAAAUAUAUAAAUAUAUUAUGAACUUGGCACCUUAUAAAGUAAAAAAAUCCAUAAAAUUUAUAAUAAAUGUUCAAUAUCUAUGACAAAUACAUUAAAAUCUACAACAAAGUCAAGUCUUCGUAAUAUAAAUUCAAAUAUCAAAUCUCAUAUGAAUCAACCAAUCAACGACAAAUGCCUUGUAAAUUAAGUGGAAUAAGGGUCCAAGUGAAAAAAAAAGUUUUUUUGUUAAAGUCAAAAACAUUUUUUUUAAAUUUAAAAACUGUUUUGGUUUUUGCAAAAAAUAAAAGUCUUGGUUUUUUAAAAAUACGAACGGUUCUCCAAAAUUGGGUCUAAUUCAGCGACCCAAUGGUCUAUCCUGGUUCAUACCAAUUUUUCUAAAUUUCUUUUUUGAUUUUCCUAACUAACAGUUUUUUCGCUUGACACGACUGAAUGAGUUGAACCGACAUGUCCAAUACAAUUUUUAAAACAUUGAUUCAUACACUUUUCACUAUACUCCAUCACAUUUUAGUCAAAACUUCUAUUAUAUCCUUUUUUUUUUCCUUUAAAAAAACAAUAAAAAAGCUCUAGUUAAAGAAGAAGAAAAAAAACACCCAAAAAUAAUAAUGGGAAGUUCUCCAGAAUAGUAGGUAUGCACACUUUUUUACUCGAAAAUAUAAAUUUAAUUUUUUGAAAACACAAAUGUAUUUUGUAAAAUUGAAAACUCAAAUUUUUUGGACUUUUUUAAUGAACUUUUCAAAAUACGUUUGUCUUUUGAAAAUUUGAAAUUUGAGUUUCAUAACAUAAGAAUCAUUUUUAAAAACUCACACCUUUAUGUUUCGAUAAACUUAAAUUAGAGUAAAUCAACAAUUUUUCUUGGGGUUGAACAUUUACUCUUGUGAAAUUUGGAAACAUGCAAAUAAAAUUUUGAAAUUGAAAGACGUCGAUAUUUUUUAUCUUUUUAUUAGUUUUCUCGAUUAAUAUACAUGACAUGAAUGAAAACUUCUGACGUGGUAGUUCUCGUGGUAAUUCAGAUGUGAUAUGGGGGUAAUUUGCCCAAAUAUAUGCAUUUUAAUGUUCAUCAAUUUAUGAAUUUUGUUUUUAAUAUAGUGUUUUUUUCUUUAUUUAAUUUCAAUAUAAUUAAUCUCUAUUUAUUUGUUAUUUGUAAUUAGGAUGAAUGAUUUAUUUACUCUUGUUACUUAUCAUGGAUACAACUUUCGUUUUGAAAUGCAAGUUCUAAACUGGAAUACAUAGUGGGAAAAAUGGAUGUUUGGGAAGAGUUAGACUUGAAUAAUAUUAUUUGCUUCUUUGACAUUUUGGAUUGUAUUAAAAAUUGUGGAAAGUAUGAUAGUGUAGAUGACUCAAGAGGCGAUGAGCUUGAUAAAGUUAUAGUAAUAAGUUAUUCCCAAGGUAGUGGACAGAGCAAUAUUAUGUAAGAAAAAAAAAAAUUAAAGACGAGCUCAAUGUAAAGAAAAAGAAUGCCCUUAGGUAAUAUUAUGUAGAAAAAGAGUUUGCAUGUUAAGACGUUUGUGAGUAAACACAAUCGCAACAUAUAAUUUAAAAAACAAGGAAGAUAAUAGGAAAUGAGUGGUGAAGAUAUUGGAGGAAAAAUUUAGAAUACAACCAACUACUACUCUAGUUGACGUUGACCAUUUCCUGAAACGUCAGUUUGGAGUGUUAAAUGAGGACUAUAUGGGUGUUCAAAAUAACAAAAAAUUUAAUCAAACUGUAGAACUGAACUGUUUUUGACCUAAAGAGAUUUAUAAAAAUUGAGAAUCAAAUUGUUUUUUCAAAAAUAGUUUAUUAACCGAACUAAUUUUUAAAAACUAGAAUCGAACCAAACCGGUUUUUAGUUCGAAAAAGCUGUUGAUAAAACUAAGGUACUUUUAAACUCUAAAGCUCAAUUAUUCUUAUCAUGUGCUUUGAGCAGAGAAGAAAAUUAAAGAGUAGAUGAAUGCACAACUGCGAAAGAAGUAUGGGAUACACUGCAAACUCAUCAUGAAGGAACAAGCCAUGUCAAAGAAACAAGAAUAGACAUUGGCAUAAGGAAAUUCGAACUGUUCAAAAUGCAAGAAGGAGAAACUAUUGAUGAAAUAUACUCAAGGUUCACAACAAUAGUGAAUGAAAUGCGUUCUCUUGGCAAAGCUUACACAGUAUAAGAAAGAGUAAGAAAAAUCAUGAGGUGUCUUCCAAUCAUAUGGAGACCAAUGGUAACAACUAUAAGCCUGGCCAAGAACCUUGAAUCACUUCCCCUGGAAGAAUUAAUUGGAACCUUAAGAGCACAUGAAGUAUUGCUGCAAGAAGACAGACCAAUCAAGAAAGGAAAGACAAUAGCACUAAAAACAUCUAUAGAAAAUAUCACAGUACAAACAAAUGAGGAAUCAGAAGAAACUAAACAAGAAGAUGUUGAUGAAGAAAUUGCUCUUCUCACCAGAAGAAUACAUAGAAUGAUGAGAUGAAGAGAUCAAAUCGAAAAGGGAUCUCAAAACAAAAAUCCAAAAACAGAAGUAGACAAAAGCCAAGUCACAUGCUUUGGAUGUAAUAAAUUAGGACAUUACAAAGCAGAAUGUCCCUUAAACAAGAAACCACCACAACGAUUUCCUUUCAGAAGAAUUAGAAACAAAAGAAGGUGAGGAAGCUAACAUAUGCUUGAUGGAAAAAACAGAAGAAUAUGAGGUAACAAAUUCUGAACCUUGUUAUUUAUGUGAACAAAUGGGAAAACAAUUGGAUAACUUGUUAAAUGAUUCAAAUCUUCUCACUCAAAAAUGUAGUUCUUUGAAAGAACAAUUUCAUAAAGAAAAAGAAGAAAAAGAAAAAGCUCAAGCUAGAAAUAAUGUUCUCAAUAAUAUCAUUCAAGAACUAUAAGAAACACAACAACAAAAUUUUGAAAGUCAAAAGGGUCAAGAAUGUUCUGCCAAGAAAACGGAGAACGUUCUCCUUAAAACUGAAAAUGAACUUAUUAAAAUUGAUUUGUUAAAUUUCAUUAAAGCCACUGAAACUUUUCACAAAAUCAUGGAAUCUCAAGUAGGAAUCUUUGAUGAAGCUGGUCUUGAUUUUAAUCAAAAUCAAAUCAUGUUUUCAAACUUAGCAAAGCUCAUAUGGAUUGAAACAAGCACUAAGAGUUUGGUAUGAAAGGUUAAGUUCAUUUAAAAUCUAUAAAAUUUAUAAUAAAUGUUCAAUAUCUAUGAAAAAUACAUUAAAAUCCACAACAAAGUCAAAUCUUCGUAAUAUAAAUUAAAAUAUCAAAUCUCAUAUGGAUCAAUCGACCAACGACGGAUGCCUUGUAAAUUAAGUGGAAUAAGGAUCCGAGUGAAAAAGUUAAAGUUAAAAACAUUUUUUUUUUUAAUUUAAAAAUUGUUUUGGUUUUUGCAAAAAAUAAAAGUCUUGGUUUUUUUAAAAAAUGGACGGUUCUCCAAAACUGAAUCCAAUUCAGUGACCCAAUCGGUCUAUCCUGGUUCAUACCAAUUUUUCUCAAUUUCUUUUUUGAUUUUCCUAGCUAAUAGUUUUUUUCGCUUGACCGUACUUAGGGAUGCCAAUUAGAUCCAGACCCAAUGGGUACCCGCAAAAAUAACCCACAAUGGGUUGGUUAAAAACCCGCAUAAUGGGUAUGGGCAUGGAGACAUGUAAUUAACCGCAAAGUUAAACGGGUAUGGGUGCGGGUACGAGUACUGUAGUACCCACUCCGUCCCGCACUCGCACUUAUAUAAAUAUAUUAUUUAUUUAUUUGUUAUAUUAAUAUUUAAUUUAAUUAAAUGUUUUCUUUUAUAUUAUAACAUCUAUUAAUAUAAUUGGACCACUACAAUAUUUAUAAUUGAAAGAUAAACGUUUACAAACUUCUUAAGAAUUUGAUUAUGAUGAAUAGGUAAAUAGUUGUGACUUUAUAAUUAAUAGUUAUAUCUUAUUAAUCGUGACUUUAUAAUUAUACUUGCAACUUCCUAUCAAUUUUUUUACAAAUCUCGAAUAAUAUUUUCGUAGGACUUGCAACUUCAUAAAGUAUUAUUAUAGAUAUUUGAAUGUGUAUUGUAACGAGAGUUCAUUUGAAAUAUUUUGAGUUAGAAAAUAUUUUGGUUUAUAAUACUUUAUGAUUGGAUUUAAAAUAUUUAGAUAAUUUUUAACUUUAAUCACAACAAUAUCAUUUAUUUAUCGAUCUUUUUAGUUAAAGCUCGGGUAAUGGGUAUGGGUACGGGCACUUAGGUACCUAGAGAGUAAGGGUACGGGUAUUAAAGUUAAUAUCCAAGAUGAUACGGGCACAUGUAUGAGUAUUUUUUUAAAUCACGGGUACAGGGACGGGUACUAUAGUACCCUACCAAAACCCUACCCAUUGCUAUCUCUACUUUCCUUCAAUUUAACCCUUUAUCUACAUAACUAUAACAUAAAAAGAAUAAAAAGAAUUAAAUUGGAGAGUGUGAGGAUCUCCCCCUCAAUGUCAAAGACCCCUAACAGACACCACAUCUCAAUCCAAAAUCUUAAGGCAUUAGGUAUAUGGGUCUCCUCCCUUAUAAAUCCAAUAUUUACCAUGUUUUUUGUCGAUGUGGGACUUAACCAUUCACACUUAAACCCAACACUUUCUUCAUUGCCCUGAAAACCUUAUAAUCCUCAGGAAUGGUGGACAAAUUUCAACUCUGAAUUAGAACUAUUUCAAAAUUGAAACAACGCGAAUUUCAAUUUGAAAAAUUGAACCGAACUAUAUUUCAGUUCAAAAAACGGAACCAAACUAUUUUAUAAAUUGGUGAAUCAGUUUAUUACUCUAAAUCGAACCAAACUAGUUUUAACUUAAUUUUUUUGUUCCUAUUGGCCAAAUUUUACACAAUUAUCCCUAAUAACUUUUUUUUAAAUUUUUAUACAAUUAUCCCUAAUAACUUUUACACAAUUAUCCCAAAUUUUACACAAUUAUCCCUAAUAACUUUUUUGAAAAACAAUUUGGUUCUCAAUUUUUAUAAAUCUCUUUAGAUCAAAAACAGUUCGGUUCAGUUCAGUUCUACAGUUUAAUUAAAUUUUUAGUUGUUUUGAACACCCAUAGUCCUCACUUAACACUCCAAACUCGCAUUUGAGGAAAUCGUCAACGUCAACUUGAACAGUAGUUGGUUGUAUUCUAAAUUUUUCCUCCAAUAUCUUCACCACCCAUUUCCUUUUAUCUUCCUUGUUUUUUAUAUUAUAUGUUGCGAUUGUGUUCACUCACAAAUGUCUUAAUAUGAAAACUCUUUUUCUACAUAAUAUUACCUAGGCAUUCUUUUUCUUUACAUUGGGCUCUUCCUUAAUUUUUUUUUUCUAUUUCUACAUAAUAUUGAUCUGCCCACUACCUUAUUAAAGUUUUCUGAAUUAGUGAAUUAUCGCUAGUUAGUGAAAAAAUUGAUGGACUAAAUUAAUAGUAAGUUAUGUAAUUCAAGGUCUUACAUGUGUUUGUGUGUGUUUUCAUGUAGUAUAGGGUCUUAUACUAGCUAUGCAGGAAGUCAUUGAACAUGCAAUACGAGAAGGAGGGGUUGAAUUGUGUUUGCCAAAGUUGAUAACUUUUUGAUAAUUUAUAAACAUUGUUCGGUUUUGGUGACUUACUCGAAGUAGAAGCAAUCAGAUUCAGAGACAGCGAACAAUGAAAGCAUAAAUAAUUUGACACAUAGAUUUAUCCUGAUUCAUCACUAACUUGGUUACAUCCAGUCCCUUCAUUCAGAAAGCUUUAAUCCACUAAUUCAAAUACCAUAAAUUACGAUGCACCUGACCCUUCAAGCCUAACAACCCCAGACUUUUGAGGAACUAACCACCUUGACCCUACAAAACCAAGUCUUCUUCUAACAACAUGACAACCCCAGAUUGAAGAAGGAACUAAACCACUAUCGAGUUGGAUACAAAAGAUUGGAACUUUAAGUGUUUGUUUCUAACAAAGUUGAUAAUAAUAAUAACUCUCACACUCGAAGAAAAAGCAAUUAGAUAAUAUUUCUCAUUCGAACAAGUGUUUCUCUUUCUCUAAGACUAAUUUUAUUUAUUUAUAUUUUUCUAUGAUUUUCUUCUUCAGGCUUGAGUGUCUAUUUAUAGUUAAAAUUUGGGUUUCAAUUUAGACCUUGUUUAAUUUUGAAUUGUAUUUUGUUCAGACUGAGUUUGUAAAUUUUUCAGAUUGAUUAUGUUCCUAUUUUGUUUAGAUUGAGAUUGUAAACUCUUCAGAUUGAUUAUGUUCGUAUUUUGUGCAUAUUGUGUUUGUAAAUUAUUCAUAUUGAUUCUGUUCAUAUUUUUUUGUAUAUAAAUAUUGAUCAAAUCUUCUUCAAAUCUUGACCAUAUCUUGUUUCAUACUCCUUGAAGUCAAAUAUAUGUUCUCAUAAAAUACUUUUGUUAUCAUCAAAACUCUAGGUAUAAAAUCAACUUGGUUCCAACAAUCAUGCCAGAUUUGGCACAUAGGUAUUUUGCUAUGCAUUUAUUGAAUAACUUUACAAAAAAACUAGAAGAAUAAAUAGUUGUGUGGUAUGGUGUGGGAUUGUGCAAAAUUCACCACUCUGACUCAACUUAACCGCAAACUAGAGAAUGUAAAGAGAUUGAAUGUUAAUGCAUGUGAAAACCUUAACAUGUGUCCUAAAGAACCUUGGAUAAUGGCUCAUUUCAAAGAAAACUCCAAAGACGAUAGAAUAACUAAAUCCCAAUUGUGAAAUUUUCGCUGAAAAAAUUAUGAAGUAUAUAUGGAAGCCAAUCUUGACUAUGGUAGAGGAAGUCAAAUGUAAUGUUAUGUGUACCAUAAGUUUUAAGAAGGUAAAACUUGGUGACAUGCCAUACUCUCUAUGUUCAAUGCAACAAAGAUAUUUAGAGAAAGAGAAAAUUCUGAGCAAUUCAUGGACCUUAAAAUAUUGAAAAAUACAAUAAAAGGAGGUUUGAAUUUUAUUUUUUAACUUAAAAACUUUUGCCUAUAAAAAACUUAUGGUUAGAAACUUAAGAUAAAUUUAACAAAUUAACUUUAACACAAAAAUAUAGAGAUAAGGAAGAGAGAUCACAAAGCCAAUUUAUCUUGGUUCACUACCAACAUGAUAUCUUAGUCUAGUCCUUUCUCACCAAAUGAUUAAAUCCACUAAAUCAAACUAAUUUCUUUCAACCACUCAAAGUUUACUAGUCAACUGACUAUGUUCUAGUCUUCUCAAACUUCUAAUUUAGUACUGUCCAACAUUUGAGGUUUUCAACCACUAUUGGUCUAGGAUACAAAGAUAAGAUUAUUUCAAGUGUUUUUGGACAAUCCUUUUCAAAAGGAUAUUAAAAUGAAAAUUAUUACAAAGAUUUUGUUACAUAGAAAGUUUGCUUUUUUCUUUAAAAGAUUAUUCUCACAAAGAUGUGUCAUACGUUUUUCUUCUCUUCUCUUCGUUUAUUAUCUUCAUUUGCUACACAAACAUUUCUUUAUAUAAAGCAAAUUGAUUCCUUUAAGAUUUUUUGACCGUUGCAGAAAAUCAUUGCACAAUUCUCGUACGUCCAUGAUAUGUAUGAUUUAUAUUGAUUGUACUAUAUAGGACAACUAGCGUAAAAUUUGAAAAAUAUUCUUUUGUCUUUUUUUCCGCUUCAUUCAUUUUUUCAGAAAUAUCUUUUAUCCCACGUGACAAUAAUCAGAUGAUGUAACCACGUACUAUUUCUACAAGGUUUUUUUUAAAGACUAAAGAUAAUUUUCCCCACUCAAAUGUUUUGAAAGAUAUAGAACAUGUGAGAUUUAUAAAUUAUAACUGAUUUGAACAUAAAACACAACUCCAUGUAAAAAUCGUGGAUGUAAGCUCUAGAGGCCAACUUUUUUACUUUUGAAAUUAGAACUUGUAUUUGCUGUUUAUUUAUAAUAUAAAAUAUUUCAAUUAUUAUGUUUAUUUAAUUUAAUAAAAUCCUUGAGGGAGAUUCGUUUUGAUAAGAUAUACAAUAAAUGACUCAAAUUUCAGAUGAUAUAGAACUUCACUAUCAAACAUCUGUAGUCGAUUAUUAUUAAAGAGGGCCAUAAUAAUAUAUUCGAGACUAUUAAGUGUGUCGAUUGAUAACUUUAUCUCAUAUGUUAUAGAUAUGAGAUAUCAAGUAGCAACAUAGGACAAUUGAGCUUAUUGCAUAAUGUGUUAUGUAAGUGUCAUAAGUUAUUCUCAUAGUGAUAUUAGUAUAUAUCACCCUUUGACUUGAAACACCUACGAUCCCUAUAUGAGGAAUUGAGUGUCUUGUUACCGCCAAACGUUGUAUGUAAUAGGAAAAUUAAAAAGUUAGUUAACUUGACAUUCAAUGAGUCAUGCUAAGGGACAUGAGUGGCCAAGAUGAAAUUUUCCCCUCCCACAAAACAUGAGUAAUAUCUAUUGGCCUUUUGAUAGAGUAUGCCUAUUAAAUGCAUGACCAUCCAGUCAGUAUGGGAUAUUGAUUGUUAUAAAGUAUACUCGGAUAUCAAAGAAUGAGAUAUUGAACUAUACAAGGGUGACACAUUCUACGCAUUGAAUUCGAUUUAGAUACGAGGGAAAAAGUAAGAUUAUACACAAGAUCAAUAUCGUGGAAAAUUUAUGUUAAAUCAUAAGACAUUCUCGUUACUCGGGUGGCAGUGAUGUGUUGCUAGAUAUCGCUAAUUUUUCAUAAUAUUAAAUAGAUGAUUUACCAUUAUUACCAACGUUUGCGACACCUAUAAGGUCACACACACGAGAACAUAUUAAUGAGGGGUUAAAAGCGUAAAUAAGUAAGACCUAUUAAUUCAGUGGUACGAUCUUAUGAUGCACCAACAUUAAUUAAGCAAGAUGCGGAACACCAUAAGAUACAAUGUGUUGUUUAAGUGAAACAUGAAAUAACAUAAGCUACAAUGUAAUAGAUAUUAAAGAAAAAUCCCAAAUUAAUAUUUUGAUGAUAAUCAAACAAAGUUAAUUAACUUCUAAUUAUGAUUCUAAAUUGUGUUGCUAUUUUACUUGUGCUUUUGAGUGUGUUAUUUGAAGAUAGGUUUUAAUAUAACAAAUCGAGAUCAUUAUGGUUCAUAAAAUACAAUAUUCUGGACAAACUAAGACUGUUAUGGUUUUUGAUCGCAUUUAAUCUAGUAAAACCUAGAUCAUUCUAGUUUGCAAAAGUACCAUACUUCUUUACACAAGAUCAAUUUGGAAAACUUAUUCUAAAAAUGAAACAAAUCAAAAACCAAAAUUCAAGUGAGUUAAACAUCAAGUCAACUCAAAACUAUGAUCUAGCACAAAAGAUUAAAAGAAGGAAAACAAAAAUCAAGAACCAUAACAAAGUCAAUCUCCAAAUUGAUGGCUUAUGAAACAAGUACAACUAGGACAACAAGGAUAAGAUAUUUAUAAUACUUCUCUACAGAAAGGCAACCUGCGUACAAAGAAGAAAAAGACAAAUACCAAACAAAUGUCAAAAGCUCCCAGUCCAGUACUAUCUCAAAAUAGAAACAAAGAACAUUCUAGUAAUAAAGGAGGUACAUUCUUAAUCUAAUAAAACACAUCUAUUAAAGAAUAAUUGAACAACUGGAUCUCUAACGGUUAAAUGAGUUGUCAUCAACCUUCUUCACGCCGAUAAAAGGAACCUUAAGGUCAAGAUAACUGCAAGAGUUUCAAGUGUAAGCAAUCAAUCACUUAAACAAUUAUACUUGAGAAAUCUAAGCUCUUCAAUGAAGCGGAAAAACCUAGUUCUUUUUUACUAGAUUCAAGGAUCUCUUUAAUGAGUUUUCUGCUGAAAAUCAAACUCAAAGAUGUGUUGAGUAGAUUCUGAUCCAUCCACCAUCUGUUAGUAUUUCAUUUGAAACUCAAGACUAUAGUCUUAAAGAUAGUUUGAGUGAAUUGUAAAAAUCCUUUUGUGAUUAAAAGGUGACAUGUAAAAAAAAAUAUCCUUUAUAGAUUGAAAGGUAACUAUAGGAAAUCAUUUCAAGGUCGAAGGGUGAAAUAUUGUAACUGAUCAAGAAAGUUUAUGUGAAAAGCAAGAACAUUCUUGUUUGAGCACAUUAGUGAAAAAACUUAUAAAUUGUGAGGACUGAAUAUAGCCCACCUUGGGUGAACCAGAAUACAUUACUGUGUGAUUCUCUUUUUCUUAUCUUUAAUUAUUUCUCACUCACUAAGCACAUAUCACGUAGAAAUAUUUUCUUUUAAUUUCAUUAACCAAUAACGUUUAUGCAUUUGUUGUUUCUUGAAGCCAAGAUUAAUCUCGAGUUAGCUAAACUUAAAAACAAGAAUUAAUUUUUUAAAAAGGGAAUCACAAUUCAAACCGCUUUCCUUCUGAUUGACAUUGUUACUUCAAUUGGUCCAUAUAAUGGUCUAUAAAUAGAACUAUUAUACAUAAUUUCAAGUGGGAAAUCAGGAAACAUUAAAAACCCUAGUCGUUUAAAACCCUAAUUUUUCUCACAAGUCUCAUUCAUUAGCUAACACUAUAAGGAGGCUGCUCCAUUGGAGGUUUGUUCAUGUGGAUUACGUAGAAACGUUGCCAAUAGAGCAUCAUUCGUAAUUGUGGUUGUCAUGAAAGUUCUAUCACGCUACAAGAGGUAAUCUUUUAAAUCCCGAUUCAUCACCAUUUGUAGGGAUCCAUAAAAGAAAGUUUUAUUUUUAAUAUGUAGCGUUUAUCUGUUUUUAUUGCGAUUUUCCUUCAAAAAAUUUGAUGUAAAAAUGAAUUCAUUUACAGUUACACAAAUAUCUUAACACAAUGAAGUAAAAGCUCACAUAUUGAAAUUAAUAAAAUAAUUGCCCAAUUACAGCAAGGAAAAGAAUAAAUGACUGAUUUGACUCUUACAAUUGGGUCGGUGUGAUUACUGGUUGGAUGUCUUAUUAUCUAGGAUGUAUUUCUUAUUCUUGAUUGUGAUCUAGUGUUAACUUCCACUAAAAGAGUUAGUGGAAUUAGCUAGGGCCAAAAGCCCUAGGAAAGAGAAAAAAAAACCCGGGAAAAGACACAUUUGCAAAGGCCACAUGACCUUACAUAUACUGAUGGUCGGAAAUCAUACCUAAGGUUGAGGUCCUCGCAAUUGUUUUUAUUUUUUAUUUUUUUAUUUUUUGAGAAUGAAAACACAAAUGAGUGAUUAAAAAAUUCAUUGGACCUUACAAUUCAUACAAGAGAUAAAUGUUUGUCAUUAAUUAAUUUACUUAAUUUAGUAUUUUUUUUUAUGUCUUUUAAAUAAAAAGGAGAACAAAUACAAUAUAGUUAUAUUUUAGGCACAAUUGCUUUUGCGGUCCCUUAACUUAUUACAAAAAUUCAAAAAUAUAAAAAAUAAAAAUAUGAGUUUAUUUGAAGAUUUGAGUUAUAAAUUUGAUGAAAUUUACAUUAUAUUGAAGAUGAUAAUUAAUUUUAUGAGUUUUGUUUGAAAAUUUUAAUGAAUUUUUGUAAAAAAAGGAUAACAUUGUUAACAUUUUAGAACAUAAAAGAUCAAAUUGUUUACUUAAAAUUAAAUAAAGAAUUAAAGCGGAAAUAAAUAAAUAAAUAAAUGACUGAAGUGUUAUUUGAAUAUUGUUAAUAUUUUUUGUUUCACUGGCAUAAAAAUUAGAUCAAUUAUAAUUUUUCAACUAUAAUUUUCUACAUUUUAUUUUUUGCAUUGUUAUUUAAAGAAAUGAACUACUAGAAAAGUCGUUUUAACGUACAUUUCAUACAUAGAAGAUCAAAUAUAUACAUAAGAAAUUUUAAUACAAUAUAAUUCAACUUUUUAACCCCUUAUCGUAUUUCAGCCAUCUUGGAUUCUUCAGUGUCAAAUUAUAUUUUAUAUCAUUUACUCUAGCGUCAACAUAACUUCAGAAGCACACAAAACAACUUCUAUACAGACACCAACUUUUUUAUGUGAAUAUGGUAGACAAUGAUUAGAAACUCGUCAUCCCAGGUAACAAAUUACUACUUUAAUUGUUUACUACAUCUUUAUAAGUAUAGUUAGUUGAUUUUUUUUUUUGGAUUGUAUUAUAAAAAAUUAAGUUAGUAGUAAAUUAAGGUGUUCCCAUUUUCUAUGGAAAAAUAAUAUUUAGCAGAAGAUAAUGAUUUUGUAAAGUGUUUGUAACAUCCCUCUUUAGCAUAAAUAAUUAGAAGUAACUUUUUUUUUUAUGUUUUACUUAUUAGUAUAAAUUUAUAACUUUUAAUAAUAAUAAUAAUAAUAAUAAUAAUAAUAAUAAUAAUAAUAAUAAUAAUAAUAAUAAAGAAAGAAAGAAAGAAAAAAAAGAAGGGAGAAGCACAUAAACUAGAAAGAAGAAGAGAAGGAGAAAAAGAAACAUUUGACAAAACUAGACAGAGUUGAAAUUAUCAUCAUCUUCUCAAUCCUUUUGGAAAUCAAGAGGUGGUUUCCCUUUUUCUAUUUUCCUUUCAUGCAUGUAUGAGAUAAUGUUUACCAUAAGUUAGGGAUUUGGGGUUUAAGGGUUUGAAAUGAAGAAAUAGAUUUUUAAUUUUAUUUUUGGUUAGAUUUAAGGGUUUUGAAAUAGAUGGUUAAAAUAAUUUAUGCAUGUGAAGUUCUAUGACUGAAAUUGAGAAUACAUUAUUGUAGCAUUGAAUUUCCUUGAUGACAUGAAAUUAUGCUCUUUUGAUGUAUUUGAAAUUAAAGAACUGAAAUUUCACUAUUGUGAGAAAUUAGUUUGAGUAAAUUGACAUUGUGAUGUUGUUUUGAUGUAUUCAUUGCUUGAUUUAUUCAUAAUUUUUAGCAUUAGUGUUUGCAAAGAUUGUUAGGAAAUUAGUGUGAUUGAAUGAGUGAUAACUUAAAAUUUGCAGGACAUAUGUGUGAUGUUUGGGCCAUAACAUUUUAUCUAGACCUUAGAUCUGAAUGAUUGAUAGUUUUUUGGAAACUAGAUUCAAUUACCUUCAAAUUGAGUACAAACUUUGUGAUGUUUGAUUGAGUAUUGAUGCUUAAAAAUGGGUUACAAGUUAGACAAGGGUUGUUGUCCUGUUUUUUUGACCUUGUGUAUUAUUUUGAUCAAUUGCAAGAAUUAGGAGCUUAAACUAGACAUUAUAAGCUUUCUCAAGAGUGUUCCUUUACUCAAUUCGGAUACUUAUAAGUUCAUGUCAGUUGACUCUGCAGUUAAACGCAGUUUUGUGCUGUUAUAACAUAAAGUUGGGGCUGUUUUUGGAAAAAUCUAUCUUAAGAAUGUUCCUUUGAAUUUCAUUUUACAUUAUAUGAUUAGUAUGAAUGAUUGUUAGUUUUCUCUAGAACUUAGUUAUAAAUGAUUUUUAGUUUUCUGGAAACUAGAUUCAAUUAUCUUCAAAUUGAGUACAAAUUUUGUGAUGUUUGAUUGAGUAUUGAUGCUUAAAAAUGGGUUACAAGUUAGACACGAGUUGUUGUCCUAUUUUUCUGACCUUGUGUAUUAUUUUGAUCAAUGGCAAGAAUUAGGGGCUUAAACUAGACAUUAUAAGCUUUCCCAAGAGUGUUUAUUUACUCAAUUUUGAUACUUACAAGUUCCUGUCAGUUGACUCUGCAGUUAAACUCAAUUUUGCGUUGUUAUAACAUAAAUUUGGGGUUGUUUUUGGAAAAAUCUAUCUUAAGCAUAUUCCUUUGAAUUUCAUUUUACAUUAUAUGAUUAGUAUGAUAUAAUUGACUUAAUAGUGUAUGUUAUCGUAUGAAUUUUCAAAGUUUAGUGUGUGUGUGAAGAUAUAAUUCAUGUCAGAUUCAAUGACAAACAACCUAACUACAAAGGUUAUAGCAAGACAAUAAUUUUGCAGGAACACCAGAAUAAGAAAGACCUCAAAAAUCAACAGAACCAAGCAAAAUAAAAGAAAUGAAUAAAACCAAUGAAAUUAAUAAACAAGAGGAUAAAAGUAAAUCGAGGGAAAACAUCCUCCAAUGCAUUGGAGAAUAGGAAUGACAAGGACAAUGCAAGUUAAGAACCUCCAUAACCAAGAAAUGGGUUAGAAGAUUAAUCAUCACAUCAUCAAACACUUUUAAAUUGAAAUUCAAAUGAUCCUCUAAAGACAAGAUCUUCUCUUAAGGACACAUCAAUUUUUGGCUUACUCUUUGAACUAUAAUCAAUAUUAGUGGAUGAAGUUCUUUGAGAUGAAAGUGGAUUUUAGCAAUGCAAGAAUAACUAAAUGAAUUCAAAAGAAACGAUGUUUGGCAUAAUGUGCCAAAACUAAAGGAUAAGAAGCCAAUUGGAAUUAAAUAGGUGUUCAUAAAUAAAUUAAAUGAAAAUGAAUAUUGUUAUGUUGACUAUGCAGGAGACAAACUUGAAAGAAAAAGCACAAGUGGAAACUGUACUUUUCUUGGUAACAAUUUGAUCUCAUGUUUCAACAAGAGGUUAGGGACAAUUGCAUUAUCAAUAACAGAGGCAUAAUAUAUAUUAGAUGUUGGUUGUAAUCCUCAACUUUUAUGGAUGAAACAUCAAUUAGAGGAUUAUAAACUCUAUGAAAAUGAAAUUCCCAUAUUCUAGGACAAUACCUUUGCCAUCUAUUUAACCAAAAAUCCAAUUAUGCAUUCUAGAGUCAAGCAUAUUGAAAUCAAACACCACUUAAUCAAAGAUUUUAAUAAGAAGGGCAUUCUUGACUUAAAAUUUAAAGGGAUCGUCGUUUUAUUUCAUGCUUUUUAUUAUUAAAUUGUUCACAAAAAUGAAGUUUUGUCAUCAACAAAAAGGGGGAAAUUAUUGGAACCACGAUGGUUUUGUAGAACAUUUCCUUGCUAGUUUUGUUGAUAUUAAAAGUUUCUUUGUGAGAUCAAUUUAAUGUACUAAUUUUCUAAAUUAAGUGUGGAGAAAAAUAAAACAAAUAGGUACAUUCUAAACCUAGGAACAAAUAAGACGAAACAUGUAAAAAUAAGAGAAAACAAGUAAAAAAAAAAGAAACAAUAAAAAUUCGAGGAAAAAGGAAAAAUCACAUGAAACAACAGAAUUAAAGGAAAACAACAUAACAAGAGGAAUUGCAAAAAUCAGAGGAAGCAACACGAUCAGAGGAAGCAACUAAUCACUACAAGAAAAUAUUUGAAUACCUAUGGAAAAUUACCCACAGACUCCAGUCUGUGAGUACAGUAUUUGAUAUAUACGGAAAAAUGGUGUGUACAUUAUUUAUAAAAUCAAUUGAUUUUUUUUAAUUAAUUUCCAUGGUUAUCGCGUGGGUAAAAUUAAAAAAAACUGUGGGUAAAGAAAAAAUAAUGCAACCCACGUUAAAGUUGUUCAAAAUUUCUUCGUGUUGUAUUUACCAUAACUUCUUCCUAGGUAAAUGAAUUGAAUAAUUUUAAUUAUUCUAUGGAUUGUUCCGCGAGGAUUAUGUUAAGACAAAAUCUCAAAUUAAUGUUUUGAUGAAAAUAAACAAGGGUUAAUUAAGAUUGUUAAUUAUGAUUCUAAAAUGUUAUGUCAAUUUAAUUUAUGCUUUUGAGUGAAUUAAUUCAAAGAUAGGAAUCAAGCAACACAAAGAAAUCAGAUAAAAACUGAACAUAUAAAGAAACAAGAAUAUUCUGAACAAAACGGAGAAUGAUCUCCAGGAUCAAGACUGAUCAUCACAACCUCAAGAUCAAUCAAUCUCCACUAGUCCAAAGAAGUAUUUGCCUCUGAAUUUUAUACUAAAGCUAUCAGUACAAUGCAAGGAACAUGAAGGAUCUAUUUCAGUCAAAGAAGACUUUUGAAUCAUUAAGAUAAAAGGUCUCGAAUCAAGCUAGUUGAAACAAGUCUGAAUCUUCUUCAGCCAAACUGUCAAGAAAGUUAAUCAAUCUUGAUCUGUACAAGACAUCAUGAAGUCAUCCAAAAUGAUCAAAACUGAACCUCUAAAUUGAUCAUCAAUCUCCAGAAAGUUCAAACUGAUAGUUCCAGAUUGAUAAUCAAUCUCCGUUUAUGCAGAAAUUCAGCGUUGAUUUUCUUAUUUCUGCAGAAGUUCAUCAUCAUUGUCCAUACUGUUUUGGACAUAAUCAAGGCUCCAGAUCGAAGAUAUAACAUCAACAAUUACAUAUGAAGCUUCAAGGAUCAUUAAAUACAAAGGAAUUUUGAUCAAGGACGUAUGAAACAACACUAGUCAAAUAGGAUUCAAGAAUGUUCAAAGGUUGGAAUAUUUUUAAUCAUAUAUAUUGGUUUUGGUCAAAACCGACAAAGUACUACCAAUAGCUCUUUUGACCAUUAUUAAAUGCUCCAAACGCCUAUAAAAGAAAGACCGAUGCCCAGGAAAAAUGCAGAAGUUCAAGUGCUAUCAAAAAUCAUUCACAUUCACAUACUUGAAAUUCUCAUUUUCACAAGAAAGAAUCAAUUCUGAAUAUUUAUAUCCUAUUGUGUUAUUAAUACUGAAUUCUUUGUAAAGAAUCGAAUCUCAAACAAGAAUUGAGACAUCUCAGAUUCUAUUAAACAAUCUCAUCAUUAUUGUAAAACUCAAAUGAUAAGAGUUUAAGUAUAGUUUGAAUAAAUUGUAACAAAUUCUAUCAAGGUCGAUAGGUGAUUAAUUUGCUUUCUAGGUGGAAAGAAAUAAAGCUUGUAAUAGAUCAAGGUUGAUCUAAGCUAGGUGCUGUAAAAUCAAGAAGGUUAUUUGUUUUGAAACAUUUAGUGGAAAAUCUCACAGUUGUGAGGACUGGACGUAACCCAAGUUAGGUGAACCAGAAUACAUCUUUGUGUGAUAUUCUGUUUUUCUUAACCAAGAUCAUUGUUGAGUUAAAUCUUUAGACUUUUUCAGAAAUUUUUAAAUAGGUACAUUUACAAUUCAAACCCUCAUUCCUUGUAAAUCGACAUUACUACUUUAGAUUAUACAAGUAAUUUUUUUUUAUUAGUUUCUUUUUCAGUUAGAAAGUUUUUCUAUUGAGUUAAAAAAAAAUGUUUGUGUGAAAUAACUCAUUAUUCUCACAUAACUAAAAAACUCACUCAUUCUCACUUGUCUCUAUAGAACCCUAAACCUUUCUUCUUCUUCUUCUUCCAACCUCCUCCAAGUUGCAACCUUCGCCAACUCAGAUUGUCAUCGCUCCGUCGACUUAAACCACUUCGGUCGCCACCUCGACGUUUGCUCUCACUCGUUCACAUAUUCUCUUUCGCUGUCCCGUUCGCUAUUUCUCGUUUUCUAGUUCAAUUUCUCUCUCUCUCUCUCUCUCUUUCUCGUUUCCUCUCUCUAAUUUGUUAUAUUUUCAUGAUUAUUUGUUGAGUAAAGGAAAAAAGAAAUGGUUUAUUAGUUGAUUUACAAACCCUAACUUGUUCUCCCAUUUUUUUUGGCACAACUCAUUGAAAUCCCUAAUAUCUCAAAUCCAUUAUUUUACAACAAUGUGCAUUGGUUAUGCUAUUUACAUGUGAUUAUUUUUUGUCUAAAAACUUGGUGUAGUAUGUAUAUGAAGUGAAAUUUGAUUUUUUCACUAUGCCUUUUUCAACGACAAGUCUUUAGUUUGCUUUAGAGAGCUUCAUGUUUAGCUUAUGUUGUUAAACUUGGCUUGAAUCAAGGAUUGCUUUGUGUGACUGUGGAUCACAAUUUAUGUUUUACUCUCUGAAUUCGAAUGGACAGUCUUUUACUAAAAAUCCUUUUUUGAUGUAAUUAAUCAAAAUAUUCGUAUCAGUUAUGGUUUUUGUAGGUUAGUAUAAUUCUAUGAAUGUAGUUUGUUUUGGAAUUGGUUUCUUUUGAAGAUAUUUGAUUCCAUUAGAGAUUAAAAACCACAUUCAAAUUACUUCAAACUUCCAUUUAUGAAUAUGAUUGCAUUCUUGGAUUGGGAUACUUAUGAUUUAAUGAGUCAAUACAUAGUAAGUUAUAAUGCUUGAUCUAUAAAUUUAUACCUACAAACAACUAAAAAUUGUCUCUAGUAAUCACUAACGGCUUUAUUUCUCUUUUUAAUAUGAUGUUAAGUUUUUGCUUUGUAAUGUUGCAGUAGCUAAGAUAAGGAAUAUGUUAAGGAGAUUUAGCCAUAUUGGAUUGCAUUAAAAAUGUAUUUUUCUUGCAUUACUAUUAAGUUUGUGUAAAUUAAAUAACAUUUAGUUAGUGUGGUUCUUUCAAGAUCUCGACUAGUGUUGCUAUUUUAGUGAAUGUAACAAAUUUUAUGUAUUUGAAACCAUUGACGGUUACAUUUGUGAGUUGAAGUGCAUACUUAUACUUUUCAAUUAAUUUGGUAGGUGACUUAACACUAGUUACCUUUCUGUUUGAUUGCUUUGAUUGGUGCACUUGGGAUAUACCUCUCUAUUGGAUUGCUUUGGUUGAUGCACUUGUGAGUUACCUCUUCGUUUAAUUUUGAUUGGUGUAUUUGGGAUGCUUUGUUGUUAAAAGAUACUUUGAAACCAAAUACUUGGUGUGAUAUCAAUUAUAUCAAUAUAUCUUAUUACAUUCUACUUUUGUAAUAGAUAACGUGUUGGUUUGCAUGUGUGAUUAAUUUUAGUGGGUAUUCCGCGAGUAAUUUCUAAUUAUUUACAAAUAUUAUGUGGGUAAAGUCAAAAUGAUUCUGGUAAAAUGCGUUGAAUUUAAUAUUUAACUAUGAAAUGCUAACUCUGAUAAAAUAAUUAUGGUUGUGAUAUUCAACAAGUUCUGAUACGUUGCCUCUACCUCUGAAAGAAAAAUAAUACAAGCAUUUUUGUUUUUGCCUCUCAUACUUCUGACUCUACUUUUGAUAUUGACACACUCCAAACUGACUGUGACUUUCAUGCUUCUGAUAUUGACAUACUCCAAAUGGACUUUGAAUUUCAUUUUUCCGACUUUGACAAAAGUCAAUGUCUCGGACAAAAAGUCAACACCCUUGAUACACCCCAUAGUCCCAUGGUGAAGCCUAAAUAACUAACAUAAUAUGCAUAUGACAAACAAUUGUGUUCCAUGUGACGUACAUAGAAGUUUAAGUUUAAAGAAACACAUAAAAAAGAACUCAAAUUUAUUAAUAUAACAUAUGUAAGUUACAAAUAUGAAGGUGUGUACAGAUCCAUAGGAUAUGUGUGAUACAUAUGAGUAAGGGUGGACAAAGUUAAGUUUUGAACUAGAACCAUUUGAAAACUGAACCGAACUGAUUUUUAGUUUGAAGAAACUGAACCGAACUGAUUUUCAGUUCAAAAAACCGAACCGAAUUGGUUUAUAAACCAGUGAACUGGUUUAUUUUUGAAUCGAACUGAACUGGUUUGUAAACCAAAUUUUACAUAAUUACCCCUAAUUACUUUUAAAAAAACAAAUUCGGUUCUAGUUUUUUUGAAUUAAAAACUGAUUUGGUUCAGUUUUUCGAACUGAAAACUGGUUCGGUUUUUUCGAACUGAAAACUGGUUCGAUUCGGUUCUAGUUUUAAAAAAUCAGUUCGAAAACAGUUCGAUUCUCAAAUCAGUUCAAUUUAAAAACAGUUCGGUUCUGCAGUUUAGUUUAUUUUUUGGUUUUUUUUAACAUUCCUACAUAUGAGACCAAAUAUUCAAAAUACAAUCAUAUAUAAAAACACUCCAAAGGAAAGAAUAUGAAAAAUACCCUAACUAUCAAUAAGGCAAUUGUCCCCUAACUACCAUGAAAAUGCAAACUUGUUUGAAAACAUUCACUUAUAUCACAAAGUUUUUAUUGGUACAAAGAUACUUUAUAAAUGAUAUAGUUCUCACUUCUCACUUUCAACAAGCCAAGGGGGAAUUUGGUGAUGAACUAUCCCAAGAAGCAUGCUCCCUCCAAGAAUCUCCCAACCUUUUCAUAUCAACAAGAGAAGAUCCACUACCUACUCUAGCUUCCUUAGCACUUAUUUUCAUUUUCAAAAUCCUUUCUCGAAUCUCUUUUCCACUGUCAGAUUCCAUCAACUCCUUUACUCGCUCCCCUAACUCAAUCCCACUCACACGUCCAUCUUGCGAUUUAUUUACUUUUAUAGCCAUCUUCAUUUCAUCAACCAAAAACACUUUGUUUAAAUUUUGUUCAGCAUACAAAGGCCACGCUAUCAUAGGCACUCCUUCACAAAUAGCUUCCAAUACUGAGUUCCAUCCACAAUGUGUCACAAACCCACCCACCGAGUCAUGACUCAAUAUUGCUCUCUGUGGGGCCCAAUUUCUAACCACUAAACCAUUCUCCUUUGUCCUCUCCAAAAAUCCUUCAGGCAAUAACUCUUUCAAACUCAACUCUUCUAAGUCCAACUCGCUCCUAACAAUCCACAAGAAUCUUUGUUCACUUUUCUCCAAUCCAAAAGCUAUCUCAUGCAACUGAGUCUGAGAAAAUCUUCCCAUGCUUCCGAAACUCAAUAGCACGACGCUUUGACUAGGUUGUGAGUCAAGCCAACUCAAACACACACUCCCUCUUUCAUCUUCCACCUUACAAAGAGGUGAAAUCAUUGGUCCAAUACAAAAUAAGGGAGGUGUUGUUCCUUCGGGAAGACACAACCCACCUUUUAAAGCUUUUAAUACUCUUUCUUCAAUGGCAUCAAAAGUGUUUAUGAUAACUCCAUCACUUUCCUUCAUGCUUCUUGCAAUAUCCAAGAAAACCUUGUAACCUUUAUUCUCACGAUCCUUAACUUCCUCAGGCAUAUCCUCUAUAGAAAUCAUAGGUAACCCAGGGAUCUUAGGAUGCAUGUGAAAGUCUUUAAGGGAUUUUGUGGUGUUUUGAUGAAUGGUUGGAAGUUGAAGACAUACAGCAAGAGAAGAAGCUCCUGAAGUGUAGUAAAAAUAAGUAGGUAUGUCAAGUGUUGAAGUGAUUUGGUUUGUGCUAUAGUUCAUGAAAUCCAAGAUAACACCUUUGAGGUUUGAACAUUUUGAAAUAGAUUGUAGAAUAUGGGCAACAUGGUGGUUGCUACGACGAGAUAGUUCAACGGGGAGUAUGUGAGGUGGAAGUGUGAAGGAAAAUGAAAUGGAAGGAAUGUGAUGGAAAGUAAUAGAAGGAAAAGAUUCACAAGCAAAAGCUUUGACAAGUGUUUGAAUAUCUUGCAAAGAUUGUGGUUUGGUAUUUGGUGGUGAAAGGAUGAGAAUAGUGAUGGAAAGUGAAGGAUUAUGUGUUAAUAUGAGUUUGCCUAAUUCAACCAUAGAGUUAAGGUGUCCUUUUC